UUUUAUUUCAGAAGUUUGGUCCUUAAGGGGUUAAAGAGUUGUUUUCAUGACAGGACUUCUAGGAAAAGUGACAUCUCUACAUUCCUCAAAAUGUCAUACAAUUAAUGCUUAAAACCAUUUACCACCAUAUUGCAGUCUUAAUAAUCCCUCCUUAAUCUUAAAACGACAUAUCCAGCAUUUAUUUUAUUUUUGUCAUCUUUGCAUAAAGACUUCUAACUCCAAACUAAUUCCUACAAGGUAAGCAGUUUGAAGAUUUUUUUUUCAGUUAAUGAGAAGUCGAUAUACAUUUGCA